AUGAACAUUAGUGUUUUCAAGGUUCAUGAAACUUUUCUGCACGUCGAGGAGACAAACAAGUUGUCAGGAAGCACCAUGUUUGAACAUGCAUGGACGUCAGGAUGCAUGCAAGCUGAUGAGUUGAGCCAGUUUGGAGUUUGUCCUGAUCGUGUGAACCAUAUAAAACCAUGGUACAAAGAGCACGAUGUUGUGUAUGAUUGUCAAACACACAUAUAUACCGUGAAGAAGGGUAGGAAGUACGACCUUGUGCCCAUGGGUCAUGAUCGUUUUAUUGCUCGGAGGAGAGAACAUCAGAAGAAGAUAAAAGAAGAGAAAGAUGCAAAAAAGAAUAUGGUCGAUGCUACUGAAAUUUUUGUCGUCACCGUGCAGUCAAUAGAUGGAAAUAUUGUUGAAAAAGCUGACCCAAAACCGAGGAUGGUUUUCCUUCAAGAGGUAGAGGAUGAUAUGGACACAAUGAACAUUAAUGUUUUCAAAGUUCAUGAAAAUUUUCUGGAUGUCGAGGGUUUACAGACCGAAGAUGCGUACGUAAAAAAGAAUAUUUGUUCUGAUGGGAAGUAUGAAGGAGAACAAGCGUUAGUUGUUGCGCAUUCUACAUGGCAUACAAAGACAAACAAGUUGUCAAGAAGAACCACGUUUGAACAUGUAUGGACGUCAGGAUGCAAGCAAGCAGAUGAGUUGGGCCAGUUUGGAGUUUGUGCUGAUCGUGUGAACCAUAUAAAAGUACAACCAUGUACCUUCAUCAAGACUGGUUUUCUCGUGCUGGACCGCAAGCUUCAAACCCUCUACUUCGCGUACAUCGCGUGCGCGAGCGAGAGGUUGCUACUGCUGGUGGUGCAAACAAUUAAAAGGAAACAUCUAAUCUACUGGUAUUUCUUUGCACGAUCAAGACCACCAGAAGAGCCAAGCAUCAGGAAUUUUCUCAGGUGGGGUCUCAUGUGUUUAAAGGAAUUGGGAUGGGGUUCACCGGCUGGCGAAACUAAAUUAACCAGCGCACAAAUAGGAGAGUCAAACUUUAUUUGUAGCAUGCCGAGAUGUAAAAGGCAAAUCAGUUUAAAUAUAAAAACCUCUGUGUUGCGAUUUCUCUGUGUGGAAAUUGUUUUCCGCGUGAGUACCUUCGUCAAGAUUGGUUUUCUCGCGCUGGACCGCAAGGUUCAAACCAUCUACUUCGUGUACAUCACGUGUGCGGGCGAGAGGUUGCUACUGCUGGUGUCAAUAGAUGGAAAUAUUACUGAAAAAGGUCACCAAAAACCAAGGACGGUUUUCCUUGAAGAGGGAGAGGAUGAUAUGGACACAAUGAACAUUAGUGUUUUCAAGGUGCAAACAAUUAAAAGGAAACAUCUAAUCUACUUGUAUUUCUUUGGACGACCAAGACCACCAGAAGAGUCGAGCAUCAGGAAGUUUCUCAGGUGGGGUCUCAUGUCUUUAAAGGAAUUGGGAUGGGUGAGUACCUUCGUCAAGAUUGGUUUUCUCGUGCUGGACCGCAAGGUUCAAACCCUCUACUUCGCGUACAUCGCGUGCGCGAGCGAGAGGUUGCUAUUGCUGGUGGGGGAAGGUCGAUGGGAUGGGCUUUUUCAUACUCGCGUUGUGGUCCAAGAGAAAUCAUGUGCCAUGACAAUCAACCACAUGAGUUUGAUCAACAAUGCAAGCAUCGAGAUUGUGGAGAAGCUCGAUCUACCAAUGACACCACGAGCACAACCAUACUUGUUUCGUUGGGGUCAUAAGGAGUUCGGUGCCACACAUCAAACCAAGGUGGCGAGCCCAUCGACGGCGGCUCCGCCAGAUAAGGGGGUGCUGCCUCUUGGAGAUGGCCCCAUCGGGGGUGUCUUCAGCGGCCAGGAGUGGAGGCCUUUCGGGAGAGAUCGAGGAGGUGAGAUAUCCUCUGAUUCGCAUGAGGAAGGUCUGGCUAGGCCCAAUCUUGCUAUGGAAACUGCUGAUCCAGUGACUCGUGAUUUGGGGAAAAAUUUAGGGUCAGAGGAGGAGGUGGUCUUUAAUCCUGAUUAUUUGGUAGUUUCUUUUUCUAGCUUGGAAAGUGGGAUCCGCCGACAUCUUGUGAGGAUAGCCUGCUAUAUUUGUGGGUUCGGGAGAGGUUGUUCCUCCUCAUUGCUAGCGCCAGUGCAGCAGCAUCUGCUCUCUUCUCUUUCUAAAUCUUGCCGCAACCGAGGGGAGUGUGCCAUGGCGGGUCAGGGAGAGAAUGUGAGUGAUGUUUUGUGGAAGAAACCAGUGAGUGGAGAGGGUUCGAGGGCGGUGACAGAUGUUGCGGCGAGGAUGGGUUCCCCAUCGGCCAUUUCCCAAGCUGGUUCCUCUCUCCACCUAGCAAUGCAUAACCAGUUGGGGACGAAGAUGUCGGGGAGCCAUCCUCUGGUCAUUGACAUGGAGGUUGCCCGCAAGGCCAUCAGUGGUUUCCUCGUGGUUGGACGCCUCCUCUCCCCCUUCCAGGCCAACCCAAGGGUCAUCUUCGACGAUCUCCAGAACACAGCUUGGAAGAACCAAGGGGCGACCACCCUCCAAGAGGUGGACAACAACGAUGGGAGGUUCAUCCUCAACUUCCCCACUGAGAGUGACCGUCGGUUUGUGCUUAAGGCGCAGCCAUGUCACUUCAAGUGGGGUGGGCUCAUCUUCGCAGAGUUCGACAGCAAGGGCGACCCGACGGAGGUAGACCUUGGCAUCAUGACCAUAUGGGUCCAGACUUCUGUAGAGUUUACCCCUUCAGGUAGUUCAAAGAUACUUAAAUUUGAUGUAAAGAGGGGUCUCCUCUUCGAGAACUACUCUCAUGGCAACAAGAAUCCGACUACAAGCAUCGCCAACAACAACAAUAAUGCCAAGCCCAUGGACGUCGUCAAGGUGGCCACUGCCAUGAGUGGUCUCACAGUCUCUGAUAAGGGGGGCACUACUUCCGCCAAGACGACCACCGGCCAGGAGGGCCGGGUUCAGGAGGUCAUGGCGCAUGCUCCGGCUGGUGCGUCACUUGGUCAGGUCGACCAGGUGGGCGCGCUGGCUGCUCCGGAGGGCUGGGUUCCUGUGGCUCAUCUGUCGACUCUUUUUGGUGCUGCUCCCAGUCAGGCGGACCGGGAAGUGGCUCUGUCUGCCCUUGCUAACCUUGGCCAGGAGGGCCAAGGGUUGGCGCCGGUAGUACCCAUCCAUGCCAAGGCGCUGGUUGCUGCUGCUGGCCAUAGUGGAUGUCCUACUGGACAGGAGGGUCAGGGGAUCCAUCUGAUGGUUGGAGGCAACCAUUCACAGGGUGCAGCUAUAGCUGUUGCUCAACAUGAUGGGCUAUUAUCCAUGCCCAGUGUGCUGGAGGCCUCUUUCAGGGGCUAUUGCUGCUAG
rnacentral:rRNA from 1 species